rnacentral:rRNA from 1 species
UUGGAGGGCAAGUCUGGUGCCAGCAGCCGCGGUAAUUCCAGCUCCAAUAGCGUAUAUUAAAGUUGUUGCAGUUAAAAAGCUCGUAGUUGAAUUUCGGGACCAUCAUGUCGGUCGUGCCUCGGUACGUACUGGUAUUGUUGGUUUCUCCCUUCUGACGAACCAUGAUGUCAUUUAUUUGGUGUUGUGGGGAAUCAGGACUGUUACUUUGAAAAAAUUAGAGUGUUUAAAGCAGGCUCACGCUUGAAUACAUUAGCAUGGAAUAAUGAAAUAGGACGUUUGAUUCUAUUUUGUUGGUUUCUAGGAUCGACGUAAUGAUUAAUAGGGAUAGUUGGGGGCAUUAGUAUUCAAUUGUCAGAGGUGAAAUUCUUGGAUUUAUUGAAGACUAACUACUGCGAAAGCAUUUGCCAAGGAUGUUUUCAUUAAUCAAGAACGAAAGUUAGGGGAUCGAAGACGAUCAGAUACCGUCGUAGUCUUAACCAUAAACUAUGCCGACUAGGGAUCGGAUGAUGUUAAUUUUUUAAUGAAUCAUUCGGCGCCUUACGGGAAAC